GGGCCCGCACAAGCGGUGGAGCAUGUGGUUUAAUUCGAUGAUACGCGAGGAACCUUACCAGGGCUUAAAUGUAAGUUGCAUGGAUCAGAGAUGAUCCUUCUUCGGACCACUUACAAGGUGCUGCAUGGUUGUCGUCAGCUCGUGCCGUGAGGUGUCAGGUUAAGUCCUAUAACGAGCGCAACCCCUGUCGUUAGUUACCAGCAAGUAAUGUUGGGUACUCUAGCGAGACUGCCGGUGCAAACCGUGAGGAAGGUGGGGAUGACGUCAAAUCAUCACGGCCCUUACGUCCUGGGCUACACACGUGCUACAAUGGCCGGUACAGAGAGCAGCCACUACGCGAGUAGGAGCGAAUCUUCAAAGCCGGUCUCAGUUCGGAUCGCAGUCUGCAACUCGACUGCGUGAAGCUGGAAUCGCUAGUAAUCG
rnacentral:rRNA from 1 species